rnacentral:rRNA from 1 species
UACGAAGGGGGCUAGCGUUGUUCGGAAUCACUGGGCGUAAAGCGCACGUAGGCGGAUUCGUAAGUCAGGGGUGAAAUCCCGGAGCUCAACUCCGGAACUGCCUUUAAUACUGGCAAUCUCGAGUCCGAAAGAGGUAAGUGGAACUCCUAGUGUAGAGGUGGAAUUCGUAGAUAUUAGGAAGAACACCAGUGGCGAAGGCGGCUUACUGGUCCGGUACUGACGCUGAGGUGCGAAAGCGUGGGGAGCAAACAGG